rnacentral:rRNA from 1 species
CGGAGGAAAGGAAACCAACCGGGAUUGCCUCAGUAACGGCGAGUGAAGCGGCAAGAGCUCAAAUUUGAAAUCUGGCCCCUCCGGGGUCCGAGUUGUAAUUUGCAGAGGAUGCUUCGGGUGCGGCCCCUGUCUAAGUGCCCUGGAACGGGCCGUCAGAGAGGGUGAGAAUCCCGUCUUGGGCAGGGUGCCCGUGCCCGUGUGAAGCUCCUUCGACGAGUCGAGUUGUUUGGGAAUGCAGCUCAAAAUGGGUGGUAAAUUUCAUCUAAAGCUAAAUACCGGCCGGAGACCGAUAGCGCACAAGUAGAGUGAUCGAAAGAUGAAAAGCACUUUGAAAAGAGAGUUAAACAGCACGUGAAAUUGUUGAAAGGGAAGCGCUUGCAACCAGACUCGGCCUCGGGGUUCAGCCAGCAUUCGUGCUGGUGUACUUCCCCGGGGCCGGGCCAGCGUCGGUUUGGGCGGCCGGUCAAAGGCCCCAGGAAUGUAUCGUCCUCCGGGACGUCUUAUAGCCUGGGGUGCAAUGCGGCCAGCCUGGACCGAGGAACGCG